GAAAAAUGCAUCAGAGCACAGUUGGUAAGAUCUCAGAUAACUUUGUGGUGAAGAUACAGAAGUGCUGUGCCACGGAAGUGAUUGAUUAAUGAGCUGCGAAUGGCCCAGAGGAUGCUGGAGACCUGAAGGGAGCUCUCUGGGGAUGUGUACCAAGCCCUGCUCACCAUUUUUGCCCAUGAUCUGGAUGAUGACAUGGGAGAUAUCCUAACCAAAACUGCAGGUGUCAUAAUGCUGGGAGGGUUAGGCACAGGUCAGCAAUGAAAGAUGGGAUCUAAGUGAUCCUAAGAGUCACAUGGGAAGAUAUUGACAAGUCUUGCCCUUGGGUCCCCACAUCCAACUGCCUAAGCCAGACCGUGAGGGGCUGAAAGGGGUCAGAGCGGCCACAACGAGUCUUUGGGUCUUACUGCCGAGACAGCAUGUGAUGGGCUCCUGGCACGUGAGAAGUCAUCUAAGGCCUCAGAGAUCCAAGCAAGGAGGUGCUGAGUAAUAAGGCCUGGAGAAGUUCAGUGACAGCUAGAGUGUGCCAGACCUGGAACUCUAACCCAGACAAAGGCUUGUUGGUGAGACGGAACAGCUCUAUGUUCUAAAGCCCUCAGCCGUGUGGCUCACACAGGCGACUCUCUGAGCAUCAAGUCGACUGACAGCCUGACUCUCACGCCCGGUAAGACAGUCCUGACAUAGACGUCUUUAGUGACCUCAUUAGAGACUUAACAAGAGAGGGGAUUGUGGUAGGGUCACCCGGGGUCAGGCAGGACAAAGAAACAAACGCAUAGCAUAAAUGUCCCGGUGAGGCGGCUCCUCAGACUGGGUGGCACAGGUGGAGGAGCUAAAACAGUUUUACUUCGAGGACUUCAAGACUCACUGAAGCACGUCAGCUCCUGAGCAUGUGUCUUAGGACCGGAGCCUAGAUUCUGACACAGUGUGGGGCCGUGACCCCCAAGGGAUGGACCAGCUCUGUGGUGGAAUAUUCCAGAAGCACCCAAUGAGGGAUUCAGUUUACAUCUUCCUGGCUCCCUGGCAUGCUCUGCUUUCUGCCCAUGCAGGGUUUCUGUCAUGACAGCAGCGUGCAGCCAGGCAGGGUCCGGAGGGUGUGCCCUCUGGCCACAGUCCAGCUCAGCUCCCUCCAUUCAGAAUUGAGGUUGUUUAAGUGAUUUUUUAAAAAAGGAAAUGGCAUAAUUCAGCACCAGCCCAACCCCUUAGGUGUUGGAAAGCUUGCUGGGUCAACAAAUUCUAUCUAAACUCCCUGGAGGUCCAGGUGCAAGAGGGAAAGUGGUAAAAAUCCUUAAGAGGUAGUGGAAGGGGGUGGAAGACACAGGGAAGCAGCCCUUUUGGGGCAGAGAGAGUUCUCUUCCUCGGAUGAGGAGUGGGGUUGUGGGUGGCCGGAGCAGUGUUAAGGCCCUGGCCCUGCUCUGCAACAGGAUGGGUCAGUCAUGCACCAACUCCUGGGGCAGCUGGACCUGGCUCACCUGACGAUGCUGGGAGAUGGCGUGCGGGACUUCUCACCUGUGCCUCUUCGCCACAGGUCAGGGAUGGGGUGUCCCAGACGCUCACCCUCCUUAAGCCCCUUCCUCAGCAGGGGCCCACACUGCCUGAGCCAGCCUUCCUUCCCUUCACCCCCGAGGGCAGGCUCCUCUCUGCCAUGCAGUGCUGCCUGCCACCACGGCUCUCUCUGAGGCCCAUUGGCUUCAGGUGUGUCACUCAUUCCUUCACCCCACACUUACUGAGAAGCUAACCUGUGCCGGACACACGAUGAUUAAUAGUCUGUGGUCUAGGGGAGCACAGAGGCUAAUGGAGGAGUCAUAUCAUAAUUAUGACUAAUACUUACUGAACCCUUAGUUGUGCUACUUUACAACCCUCAAGACACUAGAGAUCUUUGAGGCUGAGGUCUGGGCGUCCAUCUCCGUUUCCCACUAUAGUAGCUCAGGCUGCUGUAACCAAACACUGCAGACUAGAUGAUGUAACAAUAAGAAAUUAAUUUCUCACAGUCUGAAGGCUGGAAGGUUGAGAUCAGAGUGCCAGCACUCAGCCUCUGGUGAGGACUCUUCCCGACCUGCAGAUGGCCUUCUACUUGCUGUGUCUUCUCAUGGCAGAGAGAAAGUUCUAGUCUCUUCUUCUUUUACAUGGACACUAGUCCCAUUACGGGGCCCCACCUUCAUGACGUCAUCCAAACCUAAUUAUCUCCCAGUGGCCCCAUCUCCAAAUACCAUUAUGAUGGGGGCAAGAGUUUCAACAUAUCAAUUUGGGGGGGAUGCAGUUCAGUUAAUUGUACCCACAUGGCAUAUGCCCAGUCCAUGUUCAGCAAAAGCUUGCUGAAUUGAGUGGACUCUAGCUGCCUGUUAUUUCUCUGCUCCAUCUUGUUCACUAGACCCCAGGAGGUGUUUCAAUAAGGGGCACCUACAGGCCCAACCAACAUACAACCGGUGGGUCCUCCCACCAGCCUGAGCUCCAAUUUUCUUAUGGCUGCUUUUUCUCUCUCUCAACAUAAUCUCCAUGAUCUCUAGUCUUUCCCAAAUGCUGUUGAAAGGCUUGUUGUAUUUAUCUCCGGAGAAUCCGCCAUGCCCCUGUGCAAUUUUCCAUUGUCAUGGUUCAUUUUAAUUUCCUCUAAGGCUGUUGGCCACUCUCGUGUUCAGAAAUAGCUUGUUCCACUUAAUAAAAGUGCUUAAAUAUGCAGACACGAGAAGUUUCCUUUGCUUGCUCCUAAACAUCACAGUAAGUGGAGUGAGUGGCAUGCUCUGUCUCACAUAAUUAGGCCGAGCACAUGCCAGGUGGCUUCCCAGGAAGGAGAAGCUCAGACUCCCAGAUGCGAGGGCAGAGGCUGGAUCCGGGCCCGGCUAGCCUCGGUGGCCACAUACUGCAUCGUCUAGCUCACAGCCCACUGGUCUCCUGAAGGGCAUCGCUUCUCUGUAAUGAUCAGAACUCUGGCCCAGCAGGCCAGGGUCUGAGUUGAAGGCCCGCUCCACCUCCAACUUGCCUGUGGCCUUGCACUAGUCAGUUUACCUCUUUGUGUCCCUGCUUCUUCAUCUAUAAAACUGGCAUAAUAAUCCUGCCUCCAAAGACUGAUUUCAGGGAGGAGUGGAAAUCCCUUAC